rnacentral:rRNA from 1 species
GUGGGGAAUAUUGGGCAAUGGGCGAAAGCCUGACCCAGCAACGCCGCGUGAAGGAAGAAGGUCUUCGGAUCGUAAACUUCUAUCCUUGGUGAAGAUAAUGACGGUAGCCAAGAAGGAAGCCCCGGCUAACUACGUGCCAGCAGCCGCGGUAAUACGUAGGGGGCAAGCGUUGUCCGGAAUGAUUGGGCGUAAAGGGCGCGUAGGCGGCCCGGUAAGUCUGAAGUGAAAGUCCUGCUUUUAAGGUGGGAAUUGCUUUGGAUACUGUCGGGCUUGAGUGCAGGAGAGGUAAGCGGAAUUCCCGGUGUAGCGGUGAAAUGCGUAGAGAUCGGGAGGAACACCAGUGGCGAAGGCGGCUUACUGGACUGUAACUGACGCUGAGGCGCGAAAGUGUGGGGAGCAAACAGGAUUAGAUACCCCGGUAGUCC